AGGAAUCGCUGGAUUCACGGUUUCCUUUUUCUUCGUGAUCGUUCGGUCGUUCUUCCGCUGAUACCGCUGUUCUGUUCGUCUAAUCGUCGUCUUCAACUCUGCGUCUCUACGGCCUCCGACCGUCCGACGAACGACGGAACGAGACGACGAUCGCGGACUGCAGCAGCCAGUAGGUACAUCUCUCCUCGUGCCCUCUGCGGCUCUGCCGUGCGGUCUGCCCUCUCUUCUAGUGUUCAGUGCUCUUCCUGGUUUUCUUAAUCCUAAUUCCCGAAUCAACAUGUCAAUAUGGAAUUGCUGGCUGGGCGAUCAAAUCUUCGAGGAUUGAGCACACAUAGGCAGAUUAGAUUACAGAGACAAGGUCAUGUCGGCUCUGGGUAGAAAGUAUCCAUCCGCAAGUCAUAAAAGAAAAAAGAAGGAGGCGGAUGAGGAGAAAGAGGCAUUAAAACGACCAUUUUAAAAUAUUAUAAGAGCAAUACGAGCACUUCAAGAAAUCAAGAGGAGUUGCCGAUAGUUCUCGCAGUUGAUCAAAAGUCAUUCCGAAAGAUGAUGGUCAUACCCUUAUAAAAGAUGAUGUUGACAUCAACAUGGAUGAUACCAAUGUGUGCAGAAAAGCAACAAGGCAAUAAGAGAUAAUGUGUUCUUCGUGGAAAUACAUAUGCUGAGACACCAAGGAUUCGUGGUCAUCCCUCUUCAACACUACCUACAAGAACAUUAGGAAGCGGAAAGGAGUGCAAUUACAAUCUCAGAAUCAGAAAUCCAAAAUUGCAAGUGUACAUGAGGGGGGGCGUAAAAAAUACUUAAUUUACUUGUCGUUCCUCCAGAUGCAAAGGAUCCAGCAGGAUAGCAAUAAAGAACGAUCUGUGAAUGUGAGAUUCAGGGGAGACACGGCGGCUGGACUGUCAGGACCCUGACAAGUUGUUCCUGUUAACUGAAGAACGAGACACUAGCUCUGAAGAAAUAGAAUUCAGUCUCUGGGAAUCGGACCGCUGGGAUCAAUUGGGCUAAAUGACCAUCGAUGGCUCUCCAGUUUCCUGUUCACCGUCAACUGUUGCCGCCACCAGCUAGACAGUAACAGUGACGGCAACGACUCCUUCGGUCCCACGCCUUCGUCACCUGCCUCCAACGAUAAAAGGCCCAGCCAGCAUUCUGGAAAAGCAUCUUUCCCCUUUCUCCAAGUGUAAUAGCUAGCUACCUUAAGAACCCUAGAGUACAUGGUAGAAAUUGGGCAGAUCCUCGAUCUGAACCCCUGUAUCUAUAACUCUGAAUUUCGAGAUAAUAUCAAGCGGGGCUAGUUCGAGUAA